rnacentral:rRNA from 1 species
CAUCGGAAUCUACUUUUUCGUGGGGGAUAACGUAGGGAAACUUACGCUAAUACCGCAUACGACCUACGGGUGAAAGCAGGGGAUCUUCGGACCUUGCGCGAUCGAAUGAGCCGAUGUCGGAUUAGCUAGUAGGCGGGGUAAAGGCCCACCAAGGCGACGAUCCGUAGCUGGUCUGAGAGGAUGAUCAGCCACACUGGAACUGAGACACGGUCCAGACUCCUACGGGAGGCAGCAGUGGGGAAUAUUGGACAAUGGGCGCAAGCCUGAUCCAGCCAUACCGCGUGGGUGAAGAAGGCCUUCGGGUUGUAAAGCCCUUUUGUUGGGAAAGAAAUCCAGCCGGCUAAUACCUGGUUGGGAUGACGGUACCCAAAGAAUAAGCACCGGCUAACUUCGUGCCAGCAGCCGCGGUAAUACGAAGGGUGCAAGCGUUACUCGGAAUUACUGGGCGUAAAGCGUGCGUAGGUGGUUGUUUAAGUCUGUUGUGAAAGCCCUGGGCUCAACCUGGGAACUGCAGUGGAAACUGGACAACUAGAGUGUGGUAGAGGGUAGCGGAAUUCCCGGUGUAGCAGUGAAAUGCGUAGA